UUGAAAGGGAAACGAUUGAAGUCAGUCGUACCAGCGGGAAAUCAACCUUUCGAGUGGGGGUUUGGAGUUUUGAAGAGUGUCAAAACCUUUGAGAUUUCAAAAUUUUCGCUCCUUUGGUGUACUUUCUCGUGGGUAGGUUAACAUCGAUUUCGAUCAUCAUAAAAGGAUUGGAGGAAUGUAGCUUCGAUCUUGUAUUGAAGUGUUAUAGCCUUUGGUAAAUGUGAUGAUUGGGAUCGAGGAUUGCAACGAAUACCCUUUGGGGCUAACCGCCUGAUCUCUAAUUGGUGUUGGGUUACGGACAGCAUGCUGACCGUGAUCUAAUUACUGGUUAAAAGGUUAGAACGUGUAUAAAUUCGUUAAGGAUGUUGACGUA
rnacentral:rRNA from 1 species